rnacentral:rRNA from 1 species
AGUGAACGCUGGCGGCAUGCCUAACACAUGCAAGUCGAACGGCAGCACAGUAAGUUCUUGCUCUUACGGGGGGCGAGUGGCGGACGGAUGAGGUAAGCAUCGGGAUCUUGUUUUUGGGGGGGGAUAAGGUAGGGGGGGCUAAGCUAGGAUCGCAGAUGACGUAGGGGGGUGGGCAGUGGAUCUUCUCGGCUGUCGGGGUUGAAUUAGCGGAUGUCGGAUUAGCUAGUUGGCGGGUUGAAGGCCCACCAAGGCGAGGAUCCGCGGCGUGUGUGAGAGGAUGGUAGGCGACACUGGAACGUAGACACGGUCAAUACUCCUACGGGACGCAGCAGUCGGGAAUGGUGGACAAUGGGCGCAAGCCUGAUCCAGCCAUACCGCGUCGGUGAAGAAGGCCUUCGGGUUGGAAAGCCCUUCUGUUGGGAAAGAAAAGCAGCAGGUUAAUACCCCGCUGUUCUGACGGUACCCAAAGAAGAAGCACCGGCUAACUUCGUG